AACGUACCUUUCAGUGGGGGAUAACGUAGCGAAAGUUACGCUAAUACCGCAUAUUCUGUGAGCAGGAAAGCAGGGGAUCUUAGGACCUUGCGCUGAUUGAGCGGCCGAUAUCAGAUUAGCUAGUUGGUGAGGUAAAGGCUCACCAAGGCGACGAUCUGUAGCGGGUCUGAGAGGAUGAUCCGCCACACUGGAACUGAGACACGGUCCAGACUCCUACGGGAGGCAGCAGUGGGGAAUUUUGGACAAUGGGGGCAACCCUGAUCCAGCCAUGCCGCGUGAGUGAAGAAGGCCUUCGGGUUGUAAAGCUCUUUCAGCCGGGAAGAAAACGCAUGGGUUAAUACCCUGUGUGGAUGACGGUACCGGAAUAAGAAGCACCGGCUAACUACGUGCCAGCAGCCGCGGUAAUACGUAGGGUGCGAGCGUUAAUCGGAAUUACUGGGCGUAAAGCGUGCGCAGGCGGUUUGUUAAGAUAGGCGUGAAAUCCCCGGGCUCAACCUGGGAACUGCGUUUAUGACUGGCAGGCUAGAGUAUGGCAGAGGGGGGUGGAAUUCCACGUGUAGCAGUGAAAUGUGUAGAGAUGUGGAGGAACACCGAUGGCGAAGGCAGCCCCCUGGGCCAAUACUGACGCUCAUGCACGAAAGCGUGGGUAGCAAACAGGAUUAGAUACCCUGGUAGUCCACGCCCUAAACGAUGUC
rnacentral:rRNA from 1 species